CGCCUCCUGCAAACCAACGACGUAUAGGAGGUCUUGCCUGCCCAGUGACAAGUUAAACGGCCGCGGUAUUUUGACCGUGCGAAGGUAGCGCAAUCACUUGUCUUUUAAAUGAAGACCUGUAUGAAUGGUGAAACGAGGGCUUAACUGUCUCCCUUUUCUAGUCAAUGAAAUUGAUCUGCCCGUGCAGAAGCGGACAUAAAAAUACAAGACGAGAAGACCCUAUGGAGCUUAAGAUAUAAAGAUCAUCUAUGUCAAUGGGCCCCACACGGCAACAAACUAAAUAGCAACUGAUCUUAAUCUUCGGUUGGGGCGACCACGGGAGAAAAUAAAGCUCCCACGCGGACUGGGGUAAACCCUAAAACCAAGAAAAACAUUUCUAAGCAACAGAACUUCUGACCAUUAAGAUCCGGCUACACGCCGACCAACGGACCAAGUUACCCUAGGGAUAACAGCGCAAUCCCCUUUCAGAGUCCAUAUCGACAAGGGGGUUUACGACCUCGAUGUUGGAUCAGGACAUCCUAAUGGUGCAGCCGCUAUUAAGGGUUCGUUUGUUCAACGAUUAAAGUCCU
rnacentral:rRNA from 1 species